rnacentral:rRNA from 1 species
CAGUCGCCGCGGUAAUACGAGGGGGGCAAGCGUUGUUCGGAAUUAUUGGGCGUAAAGGGCGCGUAGGCGGUUUGGCAAGUUUGGUGUGAAAUCUUCGGGCUCAACUCGAAGUCUGCAUCGAAAACUGCCGGGCUUGAGUAUGGGAGAGGUGAGUGGAGUUUCCGGUGUAGCGGUGAAAUGCGUAGAUAUCGGAAGGAACACCUGUGGCGAAAGCGGCUCACUGGACCAUAACUGACGCUGAGGCGCGAAAGCUAGGGGAGCAAACAGGAUUAGAUACCCGCGUAGUCCCUGUCUCUUAUAC